rnacentral:rRNA from 1 species
AACGAACGUUGGCGGCAUGAUUAGGCAUGCAAGUCGCGGGAAUCCAGCAAUGGGGAACCGGCGUAAGGGGCAGUAAGGCAUGGGUAUCUACCCAGGGGUUCGGGAUAGCCACCAGAAAUGGUGGGUAAUACCGGAUGACGUCGUGAGACCAAAGGUCCGCCGCCCUUGGAGGAGCCCAUGUGAUAUUAGCUAGUUGGUGAGGUAACGGCUCACCAAGGCGAAGAUGUCUAGCGGGUAUGAGAGUACGACCCGCGCCACUCGCACUGAGACACUGGCGAGACACCUACGGGUGGCUGCAGUCGAGGAUCUUCGGCAAUGGGGGCAACCCUGACCGAGCGAUGCCGCGUGCGCGAUGAAGGCCUUCGGGUUGUAAAGCGCGAAAGUGGGGAGAAACGCCGAAAGGCUUGAUCUAUCCACAGUAAGCUCGGGCUAAGUUCGUGCCAGCCGCCGCCGUAAAAC